AGGGAUGUAGCUCAGUGGUAGAGCACUUGCUCGCCUGCAUGAGGACCUGGUUUCCAUCCCCAGCACUGCAA
rnacentral:tRNA from 1 species